GAGAGAGAGAAAUAGAAUGAAGAAAGUUUUCAAGUUUUUGUUACCACACACACAUACAUAUAUAUAUACUACUGUUUCAAUUGUUUUAACAAAGAAAAUAAAUACGACAACAUGCAUGUUUGUUUACAUCCUAUCCCAUUCUAGAAUCAUAAUUGCAAGUUACCAACAUCAUCAUUAAUUCAAAGCAUCCUUCUGACUAAAUUGGAAAAUCAGUUUAUGUUUUAUGUAAAAAAAU
rnacentral:lncRNA from 1 species